AAUAAGCCCCGGCUAACUUCGUGCCAACAGCCGCGGUAAUACUAAGGGGGCUAGCGUUGCUCGGAAUUACUGGGCGUAAAGGGCGCGUAAGCGGACAUUUAAGUCAGGGGUGAAAUCCCAUAGCUCAACUCUGGAACUGCCUUUGAUACUGGGUGUCUUGACUGUGACAGAGGUAGGUGGAACUCCGAGUGUAAAGGUGAAAUUCAUAUAUAUUCGGAAGAACACCAUUGGCGAAUGCGACAUACUGGCUCAUUACUGACGCUGAGGCGCUAAAGCGUGGGGAGCAAACAGGAUUAAAUACCCUGGUAGUCCACGCCAUAAACUAUGAUGGCUAGCUGUCGGGCUGCAUGCAUUUCGGUGACGCAGCUAACGCAUUAAACUAUCCGCCUGGGGAGUACGGUCGCAAGAUUAAAACUC
rnacentral:rRNA from 1 species